GGCCAUAAUAAGCAGACUGAAUGGAAUCUUUAGCAGGCAUUUGACUGAUUAAAAGACCAUCAAACUUCUAAAGCCACAAGCUCCCCAAAGCAUCCAUUCUCUAUCUCACAUUUGAAAAGAAGUUUCUUAUUCGUUACUGGACCCCAGUUGCUACUGAACAGAUGAUACAAAGUCAUGCCAUCCAUUAUCUUUCAUCCAGAGUUGCUUAUGAGUUGUGUGAUGUGAGAUUGUUCAUCUAAUAAGUUGACUAGAGCACAGAAAAUCUCCAUUGUUAAACAUAAAUUCAAGAUCUCACCUGUCCAGCUUUCUUGGAUGCUAGUGCCUUUCAUGAACAGACUGCAACUCCGUCAGAGGCUAAGGUUUGCAAUUUUCCAAUCUUCCAAUAUCAUGUAGGAUAUCCUACCUUAUCUAUUAAUCCAGUGGUUGCCCCUGCUCCUGCAAGGACCUACCUCUUGAACAGCACUAUUUUGCCUAGUUUGUCAAUGACUUCAAUUACUAUGAUAGGCAGAAGCAACUAAACUUUGACAGUCAUUGAUCUGGUAAUGGAAACUACUUUGAGGGGUAGGAAUCCUGUUCUCCCAGUGGUAUGAGCUACAAGCCAUGAUCUGUGUGUGAGAGAGCCUUGAGGAAUGAAUCAUAUAAGAUCUUCAUCUACACUGGUGUCUGGAGAAAACAGGACUGGACUUUCAACUCUUCAAAGAAAACAAUGGUCGAUCUUCUCCAGCCCUUAUCCCAUCUUUAGUUCAGAGUUGCUCAGGUCUUGAAGUCCCUGCCUCCUCAGAAAUCUCUAUGCCCACUAGAAAUAGCUCAGAUCUACAUGAUUGGCAGUUUUUCUUUUUCCCCACAGCAUUUUAAACGAUGUGACCUCAAUGGCAAAACUUAUCUGUACUUAGAACUGUGCCCAACAUAUUAAGGCCAUAUGGUAAUUGUCUGAGGCUAGAUUUGAACUCAGGUCCAGUGCUCUAUCCGCUGUGUCGCCUAGCUACCAUGAAUGCAGGUACAUUAUUAACUUUUUUUUCCUUCAGCACAUUUUUAUAUAUGCAAAAAUUGUUGAAUGGAAAACUAAAAUUGGGAUUGGCAUUGCCUAUAGGGUCAUAGAGUAAUGUAGAGCUGGAAGGAAAUAUCCAAAGUAAUAUAGUCCAAUCCUUUCAUUUUACAACAGAGGAAACUGAGGUCAAAAGCUAAGAUAUUUGACUGCUAACAGAACUAGAAUGUUAACCCUUUUUCCUGUAUCAUGUUACCUAUUUAUAGCUCUGAUCGUGUCACUAUCCUGAUCAAAGACCCUUUAAUGGUUCACCAUUGCAGGACAAAGUUUGAAUUCCUAAGCCUGACAUUUAAGGUAUUCACUUUGUGCUUCCAAUGGAUAUUUUUGCCUUAUUUUGCAAAAUAACAGUAUUCUAAGAGUAGGCAUUUUGUUCUAGGAAUGCCUAUGAUCUUCCAUUUGAGCCAAAAUGGAAUGCUGCAUUCACCAUUUCCCAAAUAUACCCUUGUUUUCCCUGUUUCUUAGCUCUUGGUGAUCUUUACUACAUCAAUUUCCUGAGAAGCAAGGUUGUAAAAUGGAUAGAGACCUGGCCUCAUAGACCACAAGACCUGGAUACAAGUCUCAUAUCUGAUUCCUAUUAAAUGUGUGAUCCUAAGCAAGUCACUUAACUCUCUCAUGGUUCUAGAAAAUUUUCUUGGACUAUAUGUUCCAGCGAAGAUGAUGCCCUGUAUUGCUGAAUGGAAUUUUCUUGUUUCGGGUGCCAGAGGUGAUCUCCAAAUGACCCAGGAAUUCAAGCCAUAACAAUGAAUAAUCUUGGAGCCAGGAUUGAAGGUCAUUCUGCCAGGAAGUCCCACAAUGCAUACAUGCAGCCCACAGGUCAGAAUGCAAAAACUAAUUCCUGCAAUAAAAUAGUUUUAGAAUUGUGUGCAAAGUCAGCUGCUUGUGCUGAAUCAAUCUGGGUGAUUCCAUUUUUAAAACUUGGUCUAGACUUUGAGUUCAGGAAGAUGGUAGUGGCAAGCUCCGUAAUCCCAUUUUCCUAGGAAACUUUAAUGAGGGAGGAGCUGAGAUGGCACUAAUCUCAUCUCUUCAUAAUGAUGUGUACCAAUCAAAAUACUUUUUGCCCUUAUAUGGAAGCUGAUUACUCCUGCCUAGAAAAAGCAGCUCACAAUUUGAAUAGACCCUGCCACACCCAACCUCCA